rnacentral:tRNA from 1 species
GCGGAUGUGGCGGAAUUGGUAGACGCGCACGGUUCAGGUCCGUGUGGGCGCAAGCCCGUGGAGGUUCAAGUCCUCUCAUCCGCA